UGACAUAGUUUCUUCUCGCGAUAGGACCUUCGUUCGUAGCUGACACAGUUCCAGGCGAAGGUAACGAGAAAGGGGGGGAGAUCACGGGGAGGAAAAAAGAAGAGAAGAAGGUGGAGGAAGAGGUAGAAGGCACAACGCGUUAACACAUAAUGUAGUUUAUCGAGCGUUAGCCGCAGACGGUGUGGCGCCUGUUGUUUUAUGCCUUGCUUCUUACGUCUCGACCUCACACCAAGCUUUCCAUCGCAAAACAAGAAAGAAGAUAAUCACGAAUACGAUGCACUUAUACUACUUCAAUUCAC
rnacentral:misc_RNA from 1 species